UGAGUAAGUCAUUCAAUCGCAUGUGCAAACAUGAGGAAAGUCCGUGCUCCACAGAGCAAGGAUGCCGGAUAACGUCCGGUGGAGGCGACUCUAAGGCUAGUGCAACAGAAAUAUACCGCCACAAUGUGGUAAGGGUGGAAAGGUAAGGUAAGAGCUUACCAGCAACUUGGAGACAAGUUGGCUCUGUAAACCCCAUCCGGAGCAAGACCAAAAAGGAUCAAAAGGUGGCUGCUCGUCACCUCCAAGAGGUAGGUCGCUGGAGGUAUUUGGCAACAAAUAUCCUAGAUAGAUGAUUGAUAAAACAGAACACGGCUUAUAGACUUGCUCAUACA
rnacentral:RNase_P_RNA from 2 species